CUCAGCACUAUAUAGUUAAUCACCUUUCAUUUCAUCAGCCUCAACAACCCCAUUCAACUUUCUAUUCUAGUCAUUUAUUUUCCCCUAAAAAAACCAACACAUUUGCAAGUUCAUUCCUCAGCAGCUAUGGCCACUGCCUCCUCAGCCUCUGCUGCUCUUAGAACCAUUUCUUCCUCUGCUAAGCUAACCUCUAGCUUUCCAACUACUUCUGCUUCUCAAAAGAUCCGAUCUUUUAAACUCCCUAACCCCCUCAUUUCCCAAUCUCUUAAACUCGGCACCUCCACCAACUCCAAGUCAUUUUACUGCAAGAGCCAGAGCGGCUCAACUGAUUCCUCUACAAGUAAGAACAUUUAACUUCUUUAUCACAUAAUAUCAAUCACCUUAUGUGAAAUCUAUGAUACAUACUUAAAAUUUCUUGCGUUUUUUUUUAAUUUUUUUUUGUGAAUUUUGUUGAUUUCAGCUAAAGUUCAAGAACUAAGUGUCUACGAACUCAAUGAACGUGACCGUGGUAGCCCUGCUUAUCUUCGCUUGAGCCAAAAGAAUGUCAAUUCACUUGGAGAUCUUGUCCCCUUUAGCAACAAAGUACGUUCCUUUUUUUUAUUGUUACAAAAUCUCCAAUUUUAACUUUCUGAGAAAAGAGACUAGAAACUAAAUACUCAAACGCGAGGAGAAACAAAAAAACGAAUCUUUUCUUACUUUAUUACUGUUAUGCUGAUUCUUGAUAUAAUAUUUCAGCUAUAUACCGGAGACCUAAAGAAGAGAAUUGGAAUAACGGCUGGACUCUGCAUUUUGAUCAAACACGAAGAGGAAAAGAAAGGGGAUCGAUAUGAAGCUAUUUACAGCUUCUACUUCGGCGAUUAUGGUCACAUCGCCGUUCAGGGAUCGUACUUGACUUACGAGGACACUUAUCUUGCCGUUACCGGUGGAUCCGGUAUCUUUGCAGGGGUUUCCGGUCAAGUGAAAUUGCAGCAAAUCAUUUUCCCUUUCAAGCUAUUUUACACUUUUUACUUGAAGGGUAUUCCGGAUCUGCCGUCUGAGUUGCUAGUUACGGCGGUUCCUCCGUCGCCGACGGUGGAGCCAGCACCUGAAGCUAAAGCUUGUGAGGCUGGGGCCACUCUGAAAAAUUUCACUAAUUGAGUGGGGUGUUAAUGUGCAAGUUCGACUUUUCGUGGGGUCAUUUCCGGAGAAUGAAUAAUGAUGAAACUG
rnacentral:lncRNA from 1 species